UGUAGUGUAGGGUUAUUGUUAUGUGUUUGGUUGGAGAUAACAUUGGUUCGUUGUGGUGCAAGAAGGUUCUCCAGUGAGUGAUUAGAGGAAGUGGCGGUGCAAGAAGAAGAGGGUGUAGUGGUGGGAAAGCUUCGUCUGGUGGUGGUUGAAGGUGGCCCGCGAGCUUCACAUGUUUUUUAAUAUAUAAGUCUAACACUCUAAUAGAUGUGAGCAUGCGCUGGAGUAUCAAACGAAUGUUAACGUCUGUAGACGGAUAUCGACAUUCGUUGAAGGAGAAAUAGAUGUGCCACAUCCGUUGAGGCCUGGGCAGUUAUCUUUUUCCUUUGCACAAAAAAAAAAAAAAAAACACAACCACCAUAGAAGAAAUGUCAAAAUACAACACACAUAUUAUAUUCCAGUAAAUUCAAAUGAAAUAAAUUUAGUUUAAACCAACCUCUCCUAGAUGAAACUGCAUAAUAGACGCACUGGAGCACCACCAAAACACCACUAACGAACCACCACAACACCACCACAGGACAACCAGACAAACAUCUCACC
rnacentral:lncRNA from 1 species